rnacentral:lncRNA from 1 species
AUUAUUUCAUGUCAGAAAUUUAAACUCUUGUUGCCGUUUGGCUCCUCAAUCGAUUUGUGUCAGUUCCAAGUCAGGUCAUAACUCUUCAACAAUCGAUUAUUGCAUCUCAACAAUCGAUUGUCUAACGGUCAGUGAAUUUAUUUUACCGUUUCUGACUGAUUUGGCUUUAAAUUCUCAGCGGAUUUCUUCCAUAAAUGAUAAGCCACUCUCCCCUCUAUAAAUAGGCUUCAUAUAUGUUCAUAUGCAUUCACUCAAGCAUCAAUUGUGGCUUUCAAAAUAUCAAAUUCUCUCUAAUCCUUUGCAAAAUCCAGCAGCUUUCAUUAAAAAUAUCGGGCCGUCACUCAAAGCGUUCCCGUUCUGCUAGGCACG